rnacentral:rRNA from 1 species
GGACUACUGGGGUAUCUAAUCCUGUUUGAUCCCCACGCUGUCGUGCAUGAGCGUCAGAAACGGGCCAGUGAGCCGCCUUCGCCACCGGUGUUCUUCCCAAUAUCUACGAAUUUCACCUCUACACUGGGAAUUCCACUCACCUCUCCCGCACUCUAGCCUCACAGUUUCAAAGGCAAUUCCGGAGUUGAGCUCCGGGCUUUCACCCCUGACUUGAGAGACCGCCUGCGCACGCUUUACGCCCAGUAAUUCCGAACAACGCUAGCCCCCUUCGUAUUACCGCGGCUGCUGGCAC